CUACUACUCCCUCCGACCCAAAAUUCUUGUCUUUGAUUUAUCUAGAUAUGAAUGUAUCUAGUCAUGUGUUAGAAUUUAGAUACAUCCAUUUUUAGACAAACGUAAGACAAGAAUUUUGGGACGGAGGAAGGAGAAG
rfam:Hordeum vulgare subsp. vulgare, WGS project CAJW01000000 data, contig: morex_contig_230284